UAAAACCCUAAGAGCCUUUAAGGUAGCAUCCUUAUCAGUUAUCCUUAUCCCAUCCUGGCCCUCAACUUAGACGGUGGCACUCAUCGUCCUCAUGCUCACGCUCACGCUCACCCUCACCCUCACGCGGCAGUGGCACUCCUCGUCCUCAACUCCCUCACUGCCAGCCAAGUUCUUCGACUCACCGUCCAUCGAGACCAGUCAGUCAUUGCGAGGCCGUCACUCUCAUCGUCACAGUAGACUGAGACCAGUCAGUCACCCCUCGUCGGUGACUUCUCAUUGUCACAGCAGCAGCACAACUUCUCAUCGUCACGGCAGAUGACACCUCGUCGUUGUCGCCCAUCCCAACCACCAAACUCCGGUCACGGCCUCAACCUAUUACUCACAGUCGACGACUUCUCAUCUGACCCUCACAGUCACCCCGUCGUCGCUCAUCCCAACCACCAAACUCCAAUCUGCCUCACUUCGUGGUCGUGUCCCUCCAUCAGAUCGUUUUAAGGUAUAUCCGACGUCUGAAUAUCCACUUUCUAAUCUGAUUUGUGAAUCUGUGAUUUGUAUAGAAGAUAAAACUAGUUGUUCGAUUUGUGAAUCUGAUCUGUGAUUUCUGGUCUAAUUUGUGAAUAUGUAAUUUAUGAUUGUGAAUCUGUGAUCUUUGUAUGUCUGAAAUUGACUAGUUGUUCGAUUUUGUGAUUGUUUUGUUACUAUUUGACUAUUUGUAGGUGAAAUUUAAAAAUGACUCUAUCGAAUAAUAAUGAGUUAGAACAAAGUGGUUCAACUCCAACAUCCAUGAACAUGAGCGAAUCAACCCCAAUAAACAGUGUUUCUAGUGGUAAUGAUCAAUCUAUGCCUAUUACAUUAGAUACCGAUGAUAAUGAGGAUGUACUAAAAAGUAAUAGGUUGACGUCAGUAGUAUGACACAAUGAAAGCAAUAUAUAAUUAUUGUAGAAAAAAGUUAGGAGGGAGACAAAAAAUAAAUGACACAAUGAAAGCAAUAUAUAAUUAUUGUAGAAAAAAGUUAGGAGGGGAAUAUAAAAAUGGGACAAAACAUUUACAUGACCAUUUCAAAAUUUGUCCCUUAAGGAGACAAAGAGACAUUAGACAAUCAUGUUUGAGAUCCAUUAAAACCAAUGAAGGAAAAGUAGUCUUAAAUCCGACCCUCUUUGAUUAUGAAGCUUCUAGGAGAGAUCUUGCUUGUGCUAUAAUCUUACAUGAAUAUCCAAUGAACAUAGUUGAACACAAAGGAUUUAGAAAGUUUUUUAGUGGUGUUCAACAGUUGUUUAAGAUGAUUUCAAGAACCACGAUGAGGAAAGAUAUAGUCUUGCUACACUACACGACACGAGUGACGGGUGAAGUUGAAGCAGACAUGUAAAAUUUAUGAAGAAGAGAGAAUUAAAACAAUGAAAUUUUUGGAAAACAAUAGAAGUAGGGUUGCUCUUACUACAAACAGGUGGACUGCUUCUAGUCAGAAGAAGGGAUACAUGGCAAUCACUGCACAUUUUAUUGAUGAUUCUUGGGUCCUGCAAAGCAGACUUUUAAGGUAAUUUAAAUCUUUUAUAUUGUUAUGUAUUUUUUGUUCAUUUGGUAGUUUUCAUUUUAACAUAUUAUUACGUAAUACUACUAUACUAGGUUUGUACAUGUGCCACAUCCACAUACUGGACAGUUACUUUCUGAAGCAUUAAUGGAGUGUAUUUUUUAUUGGAAUAUAGAUUGUAAAUUAUCCACUUUAACAGUAGAUAAUUGUUCAACAAAUGAUGCGAUGGUUGACAUUUUAUUAAGAAAGUUAGAUUUAAAGACACUGUGGUUGCAUGGAAAUUUGUUCCACAUUCGUUGUUGUGCACAUAUUUUGUUGAUAGUGAAAGAUGAUUUGGCUGUAAUUUCGGAUGGUAUAGAGAAGAUUAGAGGUACAGUUCAUUUCUGGACUCUUUCUCCAAAAAGGAAGAAAAAAUUUGAAGAAGGAGUUCGUCAAUUACAAAUUCCAUGCACUAAAAAACUAAGUCUUGAUUGUGUUACAAGAUGGAAUUCAAUCUUUGUGAUGCUCAAAACUACUUUGGAAUACAAAGAUGUUUUUCUUCGUCUAAGACAAUGUGAACCACUAUACACUUGUCUUCCUUCAUAUACUGAUUAGAAUUUUGCAAAAGAAAUGUGUGAUAGAUUAGAACCAUUUUACUUGAUGACUGAGUUGUUUUCUGUGUCAAGUUAUCCAACCUCCAAUGUCUUUUUUAGAUAAGUUUGUGAAAUUAGGUUGCAACUUCCUAAGUGGCUUAACUCCGAUGUUGAGGAGGUACAAGUAAUGGCAUCAAAAAUGAUUGCUAAGUUUGAAAAAUAUUGGAGUGUGAUUCAUGGUGUAUUGGCAAUAGCUACAGUAUUAGAUCCUUGAUUUAAGAUGAGAUUGAUUCGGUUUUAUUUUUCUCAAAUCUAUGGAUCUCAUCAUACUGUUGAAAUUAAACGCGUUAGAGACUUGUGUUGUGAUUUGAUGAAGUUUUAUAGUUCAAAUUCAAGAAAAAUAGAAGAACCUCAACGUUCUACAUCUACAAUUAGUACUUCUUCGACUUCAAGGCGAGAUGGAAGUAGUAGUUCAACUGCUCUUGUUAAUAGAAAAGAUCAAUAUCUCAAGUUUGAAGAGUUUGUUAAUAAUGUUGAAAAUGAUGUUGAUAAUGUCAAAUCAGAGUUGGAUCAUUAUUUGGAUGAGUCUCUUCUACUGCGGUCGGAUCACUUUAACAUUUUGCAAUGGUAGAAGUUGAAUGGAGUGAAUAUUGGUGGGAGACACGUAGGUCCACAUCGUUUUCAAAUUCAUGAAAAUUUAUUGGAAGCUUUGAUGUGUACUCAAGAUUGGUUAUGGAUGGAAGGUAUGAAUUGUUUAAUUUAUUUAAUAAGCUUUUAUUAUUUACAAUUUGAGAUCUAAUUUUCCUUUUACAUGUCAUAAAUAGAUAAGUAUACUCCUAUAGAUGCUAAAGUUUUGGAAAAUGUUCUUGAGGAUCGAGAUCCAGAUGAUGUAAGUUAUAAGUUCGUGUAUUAUUAUUAUUAUUAAUUUAAUAUAUUAAUAUGUACAAUAUUUGUGGUUUUUUUUUAGGAAUCAACCCUUGCAAAGUUGGAUGAAAUUCGUUGAUGAUGGCUUGGUUUGACAAUGUUAUUGUCAUGUUGUUUGUUGUGUCUUGAACAAAUAUGUUUGUUGUCAUAUUGUAACUUUUUUUAAAAUAGUUGAUGAAUUAUGAAUGGAUAUUAUUUAAGUUUAAGUUGAAUUUUAAUGAGAUGGAUGUUUUUAUUAUUUAA